AAUUCUCAACUCCUCCCAGCUGUUAUGGCUUGGGGCUGGGGCUUGGAUAAUGGAGGUUUUGCUGGCCUUUCUAGGUCAACUCCUCUGAAAUGCAUUAGUGGAACCGUUUGCGAUCUAUCACAGGUGUGAUAAUUAUCUACGCCAGUCGAUUGCCCUCUGUCUGUUCUGCUUCUAACCGUCCAGCUGUUUCGGACAAACUAUUACUGAAC
rnacentral:misc_RNA from 1 species